AUCAUAUACAUCAAUCUGUCUCUUGUGCUUGAAUUAGGCAUAAGUGUGUAAAUUCCAAUUCACAUGUCUAAAAACUGAUUCCCUUCUUUUAGCAAAUUCCAUAUCGAAUUGUACAUGUACCAAUAACAAUUUGAGGCAACUGAACCUACACAUUUAGGACUUUCGACUAUUUGAAAAUAGAUUUGUAAGUCAAACAAUCUAAUAAUCCAAGCACAAAAAUGCAAAUUGCAAAAGCUAAAGCACAUACCUUAGUGUGCAAAAGUUUUGAUUACCUGACAUAAUUCCUUUGAUAUCACUGCAAAUUCCACCGCAUUCAGAAUUGCAUACCUCCAUCAACAAAUGGCAAAGCAAAAAAUCGAAACAAUUGAAAAAAGAAGAAUCGAUGAAUCGGGAAGACGUACUUGGAGAGGUCGAG
rnacentral:lncRNA from 1 species